rnacentral:siRNA from 1 species
UUCACUCGACCAAUCACUCUACCA